rnacentral:rRNA from 1 species
GACGAACGCUGGCGGCGUGCUUAACACAUGCAAGUCGAACGGAAAGGCCCUGCUUUUGUGGGGUGCUCGAGUGGCGAACGGGUGAGUAACACGUGAGUAACCUGCCCUUGACUUUGGGAUAACUUCAGGAAACUGGGGCUAAUACCGGAUAGGAGCUCCUGCUGCAUGGUGGGGGUUGGAAAGUUUCGGCGGUUGGGGAUGGACUCGCGGCUUAUCAGCUUGUUGGUGGGGUAGUGGCUUACCAAGGCUUUGACGGGUAGCCGGCCUGAGAGGGUGACCGGCCACACUGGGACUGAGACACGGCCCAGACUCCUACGGGAGGCAGCAGUAGGGAAUCUUCCGCAAAGGACGAAAGUCUGACGGAGCAACGCCGCGUGAGCGAAGAAGGCCUUCGGGUCGUAAAGCUCUGUUGUUAGGGAAGAACAAGUAACGCAGUAACUGGCGUUACCGUGACGGUACCUAACGAGAAAGCCACGGCUAACUACGUG